AACAUGUCACCCCUGUAGAAUCUAAACCGAAUACAAAAAUAUCUUACUCUCUACGCCUUAGCCCUCUUAAUAGUAAUUUGUACUCCAUUCUUG